UACGGAGGGUGCGAGCGUUGUCCGGAAUCACUGGGCGUAAAGGGCGUGCAGGCGGUUUGUUACGUGCGGGGUGAAAGCUCCCGGCUCAACUGGGCGGGGUCGGCGGAUACGGCCGAGCUGGAGCAAGCUAGGGGGUAAUGGAAUUCCCGGUGUAGUGGUGGAAUGCGUAGAUAUCGGGAGGAACACCAGUGGCGAAGGCGGUUACCUGGAGCUUUGCUGACGCUGAUGCGCGAAAGCGUGGGGAGCGAUCCGG
rnacentral:rRNA from 1 species